rnacentral:rRNA from 1 species
UACGUAGGGUGCGAGCGUUGUCCGGAAUUAUUGGGCGUAAAGAGCUUGUAGGCGGUUUGUCGCGUCUGCUGUGAAAUUUCGGGGCUCAACCCCGAACUUGCAGUGGGUACGGGCAGACUAGAGUGUGGUAGGGGAGACUGGAAUUCCUGGUGUAGCGGUGAAAUGCGCAGAUAUCAGGAGGAACACCGAUGGCGAAGGCAGGUCUCUGGGCCACUACUGACGCUGAGAAGCGAAAGCAUGGGGAGCGAACGGG